UUCGAUGCAAAGCGAAGUACCUUACCAGGGCUUGACAUGCCGCGAAUCCUCUUGAAAGAGAGGGGUGCCCUCGGGAACGCGGACACAGGUGGUGCUGGCUGUCGUCAGCUCGUGCCGUAAGGUGUUGGGUUAAGUCUCGCAACGAGCGCAACCCUCGUGUUUAGUUGCCACUGUGAGCCAUGUGGUAUUAGUUUUUUAAUUAGCCAGGGGUUGUAUUUUGUAUUGGCAAAAUGCCUGCAG
rnacentral:ncRNA from 1 species